GGAAAGUUAAAAGUCGUAACAAGGUCUCCGUAGGUGAACCUGCGGAGGGAUCAUUACACAAAUAUGAAGGCGGGCUGGAACCUCUCGGGGUUACAGCCUUGCUGAAUUAUUCACCCUUGUCUUUUGCGUACUUCUUGUUUCCUUGGUGGGUUCGCCCACCACUAGGACAAACAUAAACCUUUUGUAAUUGCAAUCAGCGUCAGUAACAAAUUAAUAAUUACAACUUUCAACAACGGAUCUCUUGGUUCUGGCAUCGAUGAAGAACGCAGCGAAAUGCGAUAAGUAGUGUGAAUUGCAGAAUUCAGUGAAUCAUCGAAUCUUUGAACGCACAUUGCGCCCUUUGGUAUUCCAAAGGGCAUGCCUGUUCGAGCGUCAUUUGUACCCUCAAGCUUUGCUUGGUGUUGGGCGUCUUGUCUCUAGCUUUGCUGGAGACUCGCCUUAAAGUAAUUGGCAGCCGGCCUACUGGUUUCGGAGCGCAGCACAAGUCGCACUCUCUAUCAGCAAAGGUCUAGCAUCCAUUAAGCCUUUUUUUUCAACUUUGGACCUCGGAUCAGGUAGGGAUACCCGCUGAACU
rnacentral:rRNA from 1 species